ACCCAAUUCCCAAUCUCAGUCUUCUCUCUCUAGAACAUCCCACAGAUGCCUCUCUCUUGGUACAAUCACUCUGUACUCCACCGGAGGCCUCUCUCUCUACCAGCACUCUUCUAGUUCGUCUUCCCUCAUAGUUCGCAGGACGCCUCCCUUUCUCUUUAUAAUCACUCUUUCCUCAAGCUCAACAGAUCGUCCGGUUUGAUCAUAUGCAUCAGAUCUGUUCUCUUCUAGGGUAAACUUUGGCAGAUGAAGCUUGGGAGAAAAUACAAUUAAAGUUGCUCUCAGUUUCUUUCAUAUUCCAUUUUGUGACCUUACUCGCAACUACCUUAACGGUACUAUUCCUCCAGAAUGGGGUUCCAUACAACUAGUGAACAUGUAUGUAUCAACUGCCCCCUCUCUGUGUGUAUAUAUAUAUAUAUGUUAUACACAAACACACACAUCCAUAUUGAAACUUCUCUUGUUCUAACAAAUAUAUGACAUGAUGGUUUUGUUGCCGCUCUCUCCUUGGAAAUCGAUUAACAGGUUCAAUCCCAAAAGAAUUUGGAAACAUAACCAGACUCGGAAACUUGUAAGAUUUAGAUAACCAAUUUCUUUCACAUUUAGGUACAUUUGAUAUAAAAUUAUGCUUUUAUGAUUUUAAUUUUGGUAUUUUUAGAGUCCUCAGGGACAAUCAGCUUUCUGGAGGUAUUCCUCUAGAGCUUGGGAAUCGUCCCAACUUGGAGAAAAUACUCCUAAGCUCAAAUUAUUUUACUGGGGAGUUGCCGAGAACACUUGCAAAUCUGACCACUUUGAAGGACUUGAUUAGCAACAACAACUUUAAAGGAAAGAUACCCAAUUUCAUCCAAAACUGGACAAAACUCCAAAACUUGAUGAUUCAGGCUAGUGGUUUGGAUGGGCCAAUUCCUUCUGGAAUUUCUCUCUUGGAAAAUUUGUCUGACUUGAGAUUCAGUGACUUGAGUGGAAGUGAAACAGCUUUUCCACCUCUUAGUAAUAUGAAAAACCUGAAGACACUGAUAUUAAGGAGCUGCAAUAUUAUGGGACAGAUACCUGAUUAUCUUGGAACAAUGACAAAUUUGAAAACCUUGUUAGUUUUUUUCCAUUCUCCAUUUUCAUGUCUCUCAUUUUCUUAAAAAGCGUUUUGAUCACAUACUUAUCUCUUGUUUGAUAGCUCAAAAGCUUACUAAAACAGUAGUAGAAUUUAAAUAUAUAUUCUCUAUAUUUUUGUUGUCUUCCUUGUGUUAUUGAACAUAUGGGUACCUUUAAAACAAUUGAGUGAUGUUAUAUAGUAUUAUUAAAUGAAAUGUUUCCUAUUAUAUAUGUGCUUUAGUUUGAUGAACUUUUGGCACAAUAAAAAAUAAUAUGGCAAGUGGACUUGUGUAUUUAUUAAAUAAGUUUAAGUUUACUCAACUAUCUUUAUUCUUUAAUUUUACAUAUGUAAGCAAAACUCUUAGUACUUCUUUCCAGAAAAAGAAUUGUUUGUACUUUCGUCAACUUGACAAUUGCUUCAACAUUAGACAAUACAAAGUUAUCUUGGAGCCUUCAUUUAUAUUUUUCUUUGCUGGUCCCUUCGGUUCUUAAUGUUUAAGUUCUGUUUAUAUUUCACUUAAAUUUGAUCGUGUUCCAUGUUUUUUUUUAUUAAAUUUGGAUCAAAAUUUAUUGUUUCGAUGAGUCACAUUAUUGGCAAUUUUUGGAGUACCAGCACUUCUACAAUUUACCUUGUGAAAUUUUUUGUAUGAUCCAGAUGUUUGAUUCAUCUUUAUGUGUAUCUUAUCUUUCUUCUCAAUGAGACCAGAUUUAUAUAGCAUCAUUCUCCAUUGGAAUGGUAGUAGUUCCUCAUUUUUAAGUACUUCUCAUUGGAAUGGUAGCAGUUCCUCAUUUUAAGUAAUUCUUUGUACCCUUUGACUAUGGAUCUAACAAUAUCCACUUUCUCUCUCUAUACAACUAUUCAAUUUGUAAUGAGACUAUAUUGGUCUUUGCUCGUUAAGCACCAAAGCACAAGGACAAGGACAAGGACAGAUGUUUUUAUUCCUCAAGUGAAUGAGAUUGCUUAUUGAAAUAGACAAAGUGGAUUUUGAGGCAAGAUCCCUAUGUUUGCAUAUGUUUCUUAUCUCUCCCUUUCUCUCUUUCUAUAUAUGUAUAUUUAGAUCUAUAUUGUGUUGUUUCUUGAAUUUUUCUACUGGUUAAUUCUUAUACACAACUAUUCAAUUUGAUUUGGUUUUUAAAAAAUAAUUGGAGGCAAUAAUCCUACAUUUAAAGAGAAAUUCGUGUUUACUCUGAUUUGAGGGCUUGGAAAGUUAAAUAUUGUGAUCUGGAAUAGCAAUAUUAUCUCUCUGGUGUUUUGCUACUUAUAGGGUCCAAUCACAAAAUGUCCUUUUUCAAGGCUACAAUGACAACCUUCACCACUUUAGACUGACAAAUAUAUGUUCUUGACUAAAGAUCAUUACUUCAUGAUUAACUCAGGUCUGGUGAAUUUUGAUUACUUCUGUCAAAUUCAUAAGAUCCUAAUUUAAAUGAAUGAUGAGGUUGUGUUUAUUUGUAAUUCAAUUGGGGGACUUAGUUUAUCUUAAUUUGGUUAUUUUCCAGCUGUAAAAAUGGAUUGUUGCAGUUCUUUUCAUGGUUCUUGUCUACGCCAGCGAGUCAUGAAGUAUGAGCCAUCUUCUAGCAGUGUUCUUGGACCCAAUGUUAUUUACAACUCCAAGAAUCAAGGUGAUUCAGGUUCCCGUGGAUAGUUGCAUAUGUUGUCUACAUCAGUUCUUCUACCUGAGUGACCUGAUCAACCUGGAUGCCGAUAUUUCAUUAGCACUGGAAGAUGCAAAUAUUGAUUUGAUUGCAAGUAUAAUCAUCUUAUGAAAGGAAGCUUAGUUGUUCAUCUUUCAGCGGCAUUCAGCACCAUUACCAUAACCACCUGAAUAACUAAUAUGAUUGUCUUCUCUUUAGUCAAUUGAAUAUUAAAGACAUUUUAGCAUUGUAGUUGAAUAUUUAGUUAAUAUUGUGUAAUCUUUUUGGUUAAUGGAUUAUUUGAGUUGGUAUGUUUUGUUGAA